rnacentral:rRNA from 1 species
UACGUAGGCAGCAAGCGUUGUUCGGAGUUACUGGGCGUAAAGGGUGUGUAGGCGGUUCUUUAAGUUUGGUGUGAAAUCUCCCGGCUCAACCGGGAGGGUGCGCCGAAUACUGAGGAGCUAGAGUGCGGGAGAGGAAAGUGGAAUUCCUGGUGUAGCGGUGAAAUGCGUAGAUAUCAGGAGGAACACCUGUGGUGUAGACGGCUUUCUGGACCAUAACUGACGCUGAGACACGAAAGCGUGGGUAGCAAACAGG